rnacentral:rRNA from 1 species
CCUACGGGAGGCAGCAGUGAGGAAUAUUUGUCAAUGGGCGCGAGCCUGAACCAGCCAAGUAGCGUGAAGGAUGACUGCCCUACGGGUUGUAAACUUCUUUUAUAAAGGAAUAAAGUGAGGCACGUGUGCCUCUUUGUAUGUACUUUAUGAAUAAGGAUCGGCUAACUCCGUGCCAGCAGCCGCGGUAAUACGGAGGAUCCGUGCGUUAUCCGGAUUUAUUGGGUUUAAAGGGAGCGUAGAUGGGUUGUUAAGUCAGUUGUGAAAGUGUGCGGCUCAACCGUAAAAUUGCAAUUGAAACUGGCAGUCUUGAGUACAGGUGAGGUAGGCGGAAUUCGUGGUGUAGCGGUGAAAUGCUUAGAUAUCACGAAGAACUCCGAUGGCGAAGGCAGCUUACUAAACUGCCACUGACAUUGAUGCUCGAAAGUGUGGGUAUCAAACAGGAUUAGAUACCCGUGUAGUC